rnacentral:tRNA from 1 species
UCCCUGGUGGCUCAGAGGUUAAAGCGUCUGCCUCCAAUGCGGGAGACCCGGGUUCAAUCCUUGGGUUGGGAA